AAGUGUGUUUGUUGGCUAUUGGUUUAUCAUGUGUGGUUACACGGAGAUACCACUGUCUGAGGAGUUCAAGCAACUCACUUGCAAGCAAAGAUUAUGAUUUUAUGAUGGAAAUAAACUGUGCCUUGGUGAAAAUGAUGGAGGUCCAAGGUGAGGGGAGACAGACACAAUGACGGGACACCCCAAACCUGGAAUUACUAUUAAGGACAUAAUCCUGUAAAUGCUGUGAAUUUAAUGCAUGAAACUCAUAUAAUGUGAAUGAUCCCACUACAAUCAAAUACGCUCUUCUGUAAAGCCUGGUUUUGCUGAAGUAAGUGUGACUUUUGCCACUGGAUUCAUAGCGGUCACCUUAUUUCUGAACAUGUCUGAAGGUUGAUCCCAAGGGUAUUAAGAAAAGAGGAAAAAACAGUUUCCACGUCGAAGGACUAAACAAGCUCUGCAGAGGCUUCUGCCACUGACUUCAAUAGCCUCUGGAUCUGUUACAAUAUCCGUAAACCCAAAUCCAUACAAGCACUUAGAGGAACACUUAGGAUACUGAAAAAGUACCACUUCCAGGCCCUAGACCCUGUUUGUGCUGGCUACUGUGUUAAGAAGUGCGUAACAAACCAGAGUCCUUGACCCGAGGAAUCUCCAUGCUCUGUCUUGUGGAAGGAUUUCUAAUGGAAGGCAACAUGAAUGAGGCAACAGGAUUUCAGCCAACGUAUAGAAAAAAGCUGCUCACCGGUCUUGUGGUUUGUGGAUGAGGACCAGAACCCAUUGAUCUGUGCACUGGAGGGAAGGCACUGAUCACUGGGGCUGGUGACCUAUAUGUGAAAGCAUGACUGACAGCAGUUGCGAUUGCAAAACAAACUGGAGAAGAAAUGAAGAAACGCCUCAUGCUGAGGAUGCACUCAAAUGAAAACUCAGAAAUGAAAAGUCAAAAAGGCAAUUAAGUGAUCUGUGCAUGGAUGCUGCUGCCGUCUCCAGAAGAAAAAAUGAGUGCUUAAUCAGAAGCAUAAAUUCAUAAGACUGGCUAAUGAUACUCUCCUUCAACCUGAGCACUUCUGCUGGAACAGAGGGAUAUUCAAAAUCUUCCUGUCUCCUGGAAAGUCCAUAGAGCUGGAGGCAGUAUCAUGGAAUCCUUGGUUAGAGCAAAGUGAGUGGGAAUAUCUGUGAGUUGGAAAAUAUAUCCACAAGACCACUGGAAACUGCAUAUUUUUAUUUAAACUCGAUCCUGCUGUGCUUAGUGUCAGAGUUGAAAAGUGAACCUGGUAUGAACAGAAAGUGAAGCAGAAAACUACAAUUUGGCUUCCCCAGAUCAGCAAAUGGCAAAAUCAACCAGGGCUUUGUCAGAGUGGAAGAGCUGCAAUUGGUUAAUACUCAAUACUCAGACAGGCUGUUGAAUUUCCAGUCUGGUUUUCUAAUUUAGAAGUGCUACUGGAUGACAUAAAUGUUUGAAUGGAAAGGAACAUAGGAGACCUAAUAGGAAAUCUGUAGCCAGAGUGCCCUAUUACUUCAUCACAGACUCUUAGGAGAUGGUUCUCUUCCCUCAUCCCUAAAAGUAAAGGCGAUCUUAGUUUAUCUGGCUUCUCAGAUAACCUGUUACAGAAGGCCACCUCAAUAUUUGAAAAGUACUGACUUUAUUUGAAAAACAUUAAGUCCUGUAAUGGAUUACAUUGGAAGAGGGGCUAACUGGGCUGGAGAUGGGGGGUGCUUUGAGCAGUCUUAACUGAUGGAAGGAGAAGAUAGGUAGGGAAGGAAAAAACCUCCCCUGCCUACUAAAAUGCCACGUACCUAGGACUGGUCCUGUGUAAACUCUCAGAGCUCCCAAGUACUGGCUUUUAUACUGUACUUCAAGUGAGACCAAAGAAUGGAAAACUGGUCGUCUGAGUUAUUUUGAGGUUUUUAUUAUGUUCAGGGAUUAAUUUGGAUGACAACAAUGGUGUUUUUAGUGCAACAAGUAGAAUUAAAUAAGCAGUCUGGCAGAAGAUCUGAGAAGCAGAAGGUGAAAAUAAAUAAAAUGGAGCAGUGAAGAAUGCAGAAAGAAACAGAAAGUGUUCAAAGGCAUGCAAACACGAUGAAGGCUGAAGCCAAAUUCAUAUGCAAACAUCUAAGAACUGCUUAGUGAGUCCAUCCAAAAUCCUGCUCCUGAAGAAGAGAUUGGUUGGUGUUUACGGAACAGAAACUAUACUCUUGGUCCUAAUUACGUCAUGGAGCAUUAGGUGCUCAUGGAAGAAACAGAUAAACAUACUCUAGGCAGCAGCGGCAGCGCAUGCUCACCGUGCUAUCCAGCCAACGUUCCUCAACUCUGACCUGAGGACCACCUCUGGAGCCUGCAUCUACAGUCUCACAACACAGAGAAAAUAAAUCCUGAUGAUGUUAAACGUUUGGAGCAAAACUCUGACAAUUUCACUUUUGCAACAGGAACAUGAUGGCCUAUUUUCUGUUUUUCCCAGAAGGUUGUUGGAAUUUACCUUGGAAAUUGUGUGAAAGCUUCAGAGAGCCGGGUUUUCUUGGCAACACCAGGCAGUAGUCAUUUCUGAACAAACAAGAUUGAAAUUUAUGUCUCAGUGAAGCAAUACUGGAAGCCUGUUUGACGUGCUGCACAAAGACCAUUUCCGACGCUCUCCGCCAGAUGAAUUUCCUCCGUGUGCCGGAGCAUUACUGCAACAUCCUUUUCUCCCCUAUGGCUUCAAGGGGACUGGGCUGCUGUGCCAGAGCUGACUGCUUUACCUUUUGGGACCUUGUGCCGCGCUCCCACAUUAAAAGGUUCAAACCUAGCAAUGAAGACACAAUUUCUGCAGUGAGGAACUGGAUGUUGACUUUAUACAACUUACUGAUGGAGAAAGUAGUAACACCUGAGAAUAAUGACUGCCAAAGGAAAAAAAGCUUCUGUGUGCUUCAGCUGGGGCUUCUG